CUGUCUACUAUCCAGCGA
rnacentral:siRNA from 1 species